rnacentral:tRNA from 1 species
GCUAACGUAGCUUAAACCAAAGCAUAACACUGAAGAUGUUAAAAUGGGCCCUAGAAAGCCCCGCAAGCA